rnacentral:rRNA from 1 species
UACGGAGGGUGCAAGCGUUAAUCGGAAUUACUGGGCGUAAAGCGUGCGUAGGCGGUUCGUUAAGUCUGUUGUGAAAGCCCCGGGCUCAACCUGGGAAUGGCAAUGGAUACUGGCGAGCUAGAGUGUGUCAGAGGAUGGUGGAAUUCCCGGUGUAGCGGUGAAAUGCGUAGAGAUCGGGAGGAACAUCAGUGGCGGAAGGCGGCCAUCUGGGACAACACUGACGCUGAGGCACGAAAGCGUGGGGAGCA